GAUGAACGCUAGCGGCGGGCUUAAUACAUGCAAGUCAAGGGGUAGCAAUACACCGGCGUACGGGUGCGUAACGCGUAUGGAACCUGCCCUUAUCUGGGGGAUAACUCGGGGAAACUCGAGCUAAUACCGCAUAAGAUAGUAGAAUGGCAUCAUUCAGCUAUUAAAGAUUUAUCGGAUAAGGAUGGCCAUGCGUAAGAUUAGAUAGUUGGCGAGGUAACGGCUCACCAAGUCUACGAUCUUUAGGGGCUCUGAGAGGAGAAUCCCCCACACUGGCACUGAGAUACGGGCCAGACUCCUACGGGAGGCAGCAGUAGGGAAUAUUGGGCAAUGGGCGGAAGCCUGACCCAGCCACGCCGCGUGCAGGAUGACGGCCCUCUGGGUUGUAAACUGCUUUUAACUGGGAAGAAGAAGCCUAUGUGUAGGAAGUUGACGGUACCAGUUGAAUAAGCCACGGCUAACUACGUG
rnacentral:rRNA from 1 species